rnacentral:misc_RNA from 1 species
AGGCUUCAUUUGGAGAGUAGCCUCCCUCAUAAUCUAUGCUCUCUGUAUGUUCACAGGACUUGGCUUCUGGGGUUUUCUCUGGGUACUUUGGUUUCCUCCCCUCUCUCUCUCCCCUAUAGUGCGAGAUCGCGGCAUCAUUACAGCAUCAUUACAAACAUACAGUUUCGUAGUCGCACGAACAAAAAGAUAUAUGUGCACAUAUGCUGUUUGUAUAAACUACGGUCAUCGCACAUUUCGCCCCUAGGCCAUAUCGCCCCACAGCCCCAGUCAACUAGUCCCAUGUAUGUCCGUAUCGUCCCAGCACCGAAAACUGAAUCGCCCGGCCAGGCCCCAAAGCAUUAUGGCAAAAUCGACUAAAGGACACUAUACAACAUUGUCUGUUUCAUCUAAGACAUCUUUUGACUCCAAAGCCUCAAAAAAUGAAUUACAGCUUAAAUCUAGUCUUGCUCACAAACUUAGAACUGACAUAAUGAGAAUGAAAACUGAAGAUGUGCACACAGACCUUCAGUUUCUUGGAGGGACUUACAUGACAGGAGGACACAAAAUAAUGUUAAAAUGUAGAACAAGAGGAUUAAUUCCCGAGAGUUUGAUCCAUACAUCUGACAGAAGUCAACCAGUUAUACCAGUGAACCCUCAAACUCAAGACGAGCUUCGAGAUCUUGUUGAGAUGUUGUAUACCUAUGAGGAAGUGGAUGCUGAUUUCAUUUUUAGUCAUCUGAAAAUAGACCAAAGUAGAAUGAAUGAAAAGGAAUGCAAUGAUCAAGCUCUUCAUAUCUCACACAACCAUCAGAAGGAAGUAAACAAGGGGGAACUGAAUGACCUUGACAGUAGCCAUGAGACCAGGACAAGUGUACCAAAGUCAGCAGACUUUCAGGAUAUUGGCGAGUCACUGUCAAUGAACAAAAGAUGGACUAUAGAGGAAGUUCUAUCACAGAAUAUAUUAACUGUGCCAGAAAGUCAUAUUGUACACACUGAAAGUCAAGCAGUUAGUGCGCUGCAGAUUUUGCCCAUUAUUGAUGACCCUGCCUCACCUCUUCUGCAGUCUGGUGAAGGGGAUUCCUUGUAUGUGCAGACUUCUAAUGAUAAGGAUUUGGCCCAUGGAUUUGAUAAUCAAGUUGUGCAUGAAGAGUCAAUGAAAGAUGAUAGGAGAGUGAAAUAUGUACAUGACAAGACCGUAUCUGAAGAACCCACUCUGCUUUUUUAUAGACCUGUGAGCCGACUUGGUGCCGACUUACUAUGGGGAUAUCUUCAGAGAGUAGACCCUGACUGUUGUCUGCAAGUUGAAGGAGAGAGAUAUCCAGCACAUAAAUGCAUUCUUGCCGCUCGCUGCCAAUAUUUCAAUGCCAUGUUUACUGGAGCAUGGUCAGAAGGUCAAGAAAUGGAUGUAGAACUUCAAGGAGUGAGAGCAAGUUCUGUACAUUAUCUUCUGUUAUACCUGUAUGGAGCCAUGGUGGAGGUACCAGCCAGUGACUUGGUAUCUGUCAUACAGAUGUCAGACAUGUUUGGUAUGGAGGGACUCAAGGAACUGCUUGCUUUUCAAAUGUCACAAAAUCUUUGUCAUUUUUUCCACAAGCCUUGCCAGCGGUGUGCUCAAGCUGUGUCUGAUGUCUUGCCCAUAGCAUAUCAGUAUAACCUCAGCAAGCUCUUUAAUCAGUGCUUGAAAUGGACAGCUAAACAUUUCCGCCGUGUUUUUGAGGUGCCAUCCUUUGCCACUUUGCCUGCUUUAUUUGUGGACGAAUGCACCAAACUGAUCAUUGAACAGAUGUGUGUAGACAACAUUAUCCAGAUCAUACUAGAUGCCCAUGAUCUGACUUGCUGUCUUCAGCAAAGUCGGCGAGCAGAGCAUCUGCAAUUAAAGGCGGCCAGGAUACUGGAUGCAGCCAUACGUUUUUCUGCUGCAAACUUCCCAGCUAUUGUACAUUCCUCCAGAUUUCUCUCCUGGAGCAAGGGAGGUGCAUGGUGUGUGGACAUGCUGGAGGAGAGCUUUGGCAUGGCUGUCACUUUGAUGCCAGUGGAGGCAUCUUGUGAUGUAUACAUCACUCUCAGAACUCUCUUAAAGAGCACUGAAGCUCAAGAGGAGAAAACUGACUUAGCUGCACUUGGAGGAGGCAAAGAGAUUGCUGCAGAAACUGAUAGACAGAUGUGAGUGGUACAUCCACCGAUAUAUUCAUCACAUUAUGCAGUGUCCGGGGUGGGCAAGUCUUUCUUCAGAUCUUCAACAAGAUCUUUUGCACAAGUCAUGCUUUGUACCAGUUAAUACAUCAACUUCCAGCG